rnacentral:tRNA from 1 species
GAGGGUGUAGCUCAGUGGGAGAGUGCUUGCUUAGCAUGCACGAGGUCCUGGGUUCAGUCCCCAGCACCUCCG